UACGGAGGGAGCUAGCGUUAUUCGGAAUUACUGGGCGUAAAGCGCACGUAGGCGGCUUUGUAAGUAAGAGGUGAAAGCCCAGAGCUCAACUCUGGAAUUGCCUUUUAGACUGCAUCGCUUGAAUCAUGGAGAGGUCAGUGGAAUUCCGAGUGUAGAGGUGAAAUUCGUAGAUAUUCGGAAGAACACCAGUGGCGAAGGCGGCUGACUGGACAUGUAUUGACGCCGAGGUGCGAAAGCGUGGGGAGCGAACAGG
rnacentral:rRNA from 1 species